rnacentral:rRNA from 1 species
AUUGAACGCUGGCGGCAUGCUUUACACAUGCAAGUCGAACGGUAACAGGUCUUCGGAUGCUGACGAGUGGCGAACGGGUGAGUAAUGCAUCGGAACGUGCCCAGUCGUGGGGGAUAACGCAGCGAAAGCUGUGCUAAUACCGCAUGAGAACUGAGGUUGAAAGCGGGGGACCUUCGGGCCUCGCACUACUGGAGCGGCCGAUAUCAGAUUAGGUAGUUGGUGGGGUAAAGGCCUACCAAGCCGACGAUCUGUAGCUGGUCUGAGAGGACGACCAGCCACACUGGGACUGAGACACGGCCCAGACUCCUACGGGAGGCAGCAGUGGGGAAUUUUGGACAAUGGACGCAAGUCUGAUCCAGCAAUGCCGCGUGCAGGACGAAGGCCUUCGGGUUGUAAACUGCUUUUGUACAGAACGAAAAGGCUCUGGUUAAUACCUGGGGCUCAUGACGGUACUGUAAGAAUAAGCACCGGCUAACUACGUG